CCCUUAGAUGUUCUGGGCCGCACGCGCGCUACAAUGAUGAAUUCAACGAGUUUAUAACCUUGGUUGAAAAGCCUGGGUAAUCUUUUGAACUUUCGUCGUGAUGGGGCUAGACCCUUGCAAUUAUUGGUCUCCAACGAGGAAUUCCUAGUAAACGCAAGUCAUCAGCUUGCAUUGAUUACGUCCCUGCCCUUUGUACACACCGCCCGUCGCACCUACCGAUUGAAUGGUCCGGUGAAUAAUUCGGACUGCAGCAGUGUUCGGUCACGAACGUUGCAGCGGAAAGUUUAGUGAACCUUAUCACUUAGAGGAAGGAGAAGUCGUAACA
rnacentral:rRNA from 1 species